rnacentral:lncRNA from 1 species
GUGACAUUCAUCUCCAUUCCUUCAAUUUUCAUAAUGAUCCUUGAUGGAUGAGCACGAACUCUAGAAGUGUUGUGGACAGUCUCUACAGCUUUUCUUAUCUCCAGAAGAUCAACCAAGUCUUUGAGCACACUCUUGUCUUCCUUUACCACUGACCACUUAACAGCUGCAACUGCACGAGUGAUUCUUUUGGAAUUGAGUUUCCCAAUCUCUGUGAGUGGUAUAGCAGUGACUUCAGAGUCUUUCUUCUUCUUGAAUAUUACAGAUGUAGGAUUGUAAGUAACAACUGGUGCAUUUGGAUUUUCAGGAACUUCAGGGUCUAGUGGAGGCAGUGGAUAUGGUGGUUGACGAUUGAUGGCUGAUAAGUCUAAUUCUCUCAGAGCAGCAAAGUUCAGACGAUAGGCAUAUAGCAGUUCAGCAGUUAGUCUUCCCUUGCUAGUCCUUGAGCACUUCUCCCUGACUUGAGCUUCCAGAUAUUUC